rnacentral:piRNA from 1 species
GGGCUGUCUCAUAUCAUGGUGACCACCA